rnacentral:rRNA from 1 species
UACGUAGGGUGCGAGCGUUGUCCGGAAUUAUUGGGCGUAAAGAGCUCGUAGGCGGUUUGUUGCGUCGGCCGUGAAAACCUGCAGCUUAACUGUGGGCCUGCGGCCGAUACGGACAGACUUGAGUUCGGUAGGGGAGACUGGAAUUCCUGGUGUAGCGGUGAAAUGCGCAGAUAUCAGGAGGAACACCGGUGGCGAAGGCGGCAUCCUGGACCAACACUGACACUGAUGAGCGAAAGCCAGGGGAGCAAACGGG